CAGAACAUGAUGAUUCCAGAGAACGGUUUCACUUUUCUCCACUGAUGUCACCUGAUGUCACACUUCUCUUGGCUGUCUGAUCUG